UCAAAGGUGGGUCACUAACCACAUGUUGUUGUGGUAGAGAAUUAACUGAAAGCAGGAUAACCAGGAAAGAAAGAUUAGUAGGACACCAAUCCCAUUUCCUCCCAAGAAGCAGUCUGACCCAUCCCAGUGGAGAAGAAGGGGAAGCUUCUCCAUGAUCCUGUCCAUGCUGUGUGAUGGUCUUCUACUGCUCUCAGGACAGCCAUUAGCAGUGUAUGGCAUAAAAAUAUUUCUUCUGUUGAAAUGCUGUGUUUCAAAUGGAAGCAAAAUGGAAGUAUGGAGACCUUUGUGAUUACUAACAUUUCUGUGGUAUGUACAAAA